rnacentral:rRNA from 1 species
CCCUACGGGGGGCAGCAGUGGGGAAUAUUGCACAAUGGGGGAAACCCUGAUGCAGCAACGCCGCGUAAGUGAAGAAGUCAUUCGUGAUGUAAAGCUCUAUCAGCAGGGAAGAAAAUGACGGUACCUGAGUAAGAAGCCCCGGCUAACUACGUGCCAGCAGCCGCGGUAAUACGUAGGGGGCAAGCGUUAUCCGGAUUUACUGGGUGUAAAGGGAGCGUAGACGGCCAGACAAGUCUGAAGUGAAAAUC